AUGUUUACAUCUGACGAGCAUAUGUCAGAUGUAAAAUGCUAUAUGGAGUAGUCUUUUCAUCUGGCUUCAAUGUCCACAGAUGUGAAAAAUAAAUAGACAAGACUUUUUACAUCUGGCUUAAAUGUACCAGAAGCAUAACUAAACGCGGUGGCAAUCUUGUAAUUAUGGUGAAAAUUAUCUAAAAUAUAUAUAUAUCUGGCUAUAUGUAGCCACAGAUGUAAAAUGUCAGGUUGAAUAAAAAAAAUAAAAUAAUAUUUUUGGAACAAGGUAAUAGUCAUGUGUAUCUGAUAUCUCUCUACCAAUUAUCAAGACUUAAAGAAAAAACCCUCUCAUCACCUUCGCGACCAAACCCCAGCAACCUUCGCGAAGAACAACCCAAAACGCAGCAACCCUGCUCGCAGCAACCUUAACCUCUCUCUCAACUCACCACCAGCGCCGUCCUCUCUCUCAACUCACCACCAGCGCCGUCCUCUCUCUCACUCGCAGUCGUCCUCUCUCUCACGAACCCUAACUCCAAAUCGAAGCUUAACUCCAAAUCAAAGCUUCUCUUUCUUUCUCCGGCCUCUACUCUCACGAAUCGAAGCUUGUUUUUCUCUCACCCACAACUGAAAACGCGGGUACUGAUUCGAAUCUCUCUCUCGUCCCUAAUUGCAGAAUGAAGCUCUCUCGUUCCUCUCCCUCCGAUUGAAAACCAAGAGUAUUUGAAAAUGGGUCUGUCAUUCACGAAGCUGUUUAGCCAGCUUUUCGCGAAGAAGGAGAUGGGUAUACUUAUGGUCGGUCUCGAUGCCGCUGGUAAGACCACCAUUCUGUAUGAGCUUAAGGUUGGAGAAAUCGUCACCAUUCCCACCAUUGGUAAGUUUUAUUAAUUAUUUCUAUAGAGAAAGGUAAUCAUAAUCAUAAUAUAAGGAAUGCUAAGAGUAGAAGAAGUAACAGAAUUCAUAACAGAAUUGUGAGAGAAAUAUUAUUGAAGUGAAGAAAUUGUUAUUACACUUGAAUAGAAAGAGAUAACAAAAGAGCUAUUUAUACUACAUAGGUGCUGUAUGUUAACUACUGUGUGUACUAGCACACUUAAUCACACUUAUGCAGUGAGUUAAAAACUAAUAGACUAAGUAAUAGUUUCCUUGUUUUUAUCUUCAUUUUCUUCAAUUCUCAACAACCUUCCACAAGCUGGAGCUUGGUAAAUAUCUAUCAAGCCAAGCUUGGACACAAGAUUAUUGAACUUUGAAGUUGAUAAAGCUUUAGUAAGAAACUGUUCUUCAAUUCUCAACAAGGAAUGUUUGUAGAUAAUGUCAACGUUUGUUUUUUCAAUAUCUUUUAUCAAUGGAUUAUAUUGAGUGCAGAUUUUGAUAAUAUAGAUCGUAUUGUGUAGGAUUUUGGUAAUUGAAGUUUCUGCAUAAUUUUGUUUGGAACCGUGUCUGGUAUUUGAGCUGUAGCCGUCAAACCGUAACUCCGUUUUGAAUAAUAUUUACAUGUCUGGAAAGCUGACGAAAUUAUCUUCGAUUGAGUACCAAUUUUGUAAUUUCUGGAUUUAUAAUGAAGUCUGGGGAUGUGUUUGAAUCUAGGGUACUGAUGCUGUCAAAUUGCUGUUUUUGGACUGCGGGUUUUACGUGCUCAAGCUACGCGAACGGAUCAUUAAGAGCAUACUGAACAGCUCGGAAAUGUUGGAAUCGCAGGUAACAGGUUGAGCAGAAUAAAUGGAUUUCCAAGAGGAUUGUAGUAAAGACGCUGUUUAUGGAAACUUCGUAGCAUUGAUCACCUGUUAAUUAUUAUAGAAGAUGGCUCAAGGCUUGAUCCUGGUUGUUAUGUAUUCCAUUUCGCUCUGAUGUAUAAUAUAUUAUAGGUUGUACAUUAUGACAGUUUAUUCAGGAUUUUGUCAAGAUUAUGUAUUGCCCGGCAAAUUAUCUUGUAAUUGUACUAUGUCGGACAAAAGUUAUUCUGUAAUUUUAAUGUUUCCCGAUUCAGUUAUGUAUGCUCCUAUUGAUAUUCUAGAUAAAUCAAUAUGGGGUGUUAUAUAGGAUGUUUUGAAUUGUAAUGACUUGUAUUUUGCUUGAAUGUAAUUGUAUUUUGGUUGAA